rnacentral:rRNA from 1 species
AGAGUUUGAUCCUGGCUCAGGAUGAACGCUGGCGGCGUGCCUAAUACAUGCAAGUCGAGCGAAUGGAUUAAGAGCUUGCUCUUAUGAAGUUAGCGGCGGACGGGUGAGUAACACGUGGGUAACCUGCCCGUAAGACUGGGAUAACUCCGGGAAACCGGGGCUAAUACCGGAUAACAUUUUGAACCGCAUGGUUCGAAAUUGAAAGGCGGCUUCGGCUGUCACUUAUGGAUGGACCCGCGUCGCAUUAGCUAGUUGGUGAGGUAACGGCUCACCAAGGCAACGAUGCGUAGCCGACCUGAGAGGGUGAUCGGCCACACUGGGACUGAGACACGGCCCAGACUCCUACGGGAGGCAGCAGUAGGGAAUCUUCCGCAAUGGACGAAAGUCUGACGGAGCAACGCCGCGUGAGUGAUGAAGGCUUUCGGGU